rnacentral:lncRNA from 10 species
GGUGAGUUCCAGCCAGCUCUUCCAAGCACCCACAGGCACUCACGUCACCCAUACUCUAGGACAGUGUGACAUCAUAAAAAUAAUUAUUUGGUCUCUGGCACAAUCACAAGGCUCCUAAAACCCUUGUCAUUUCCUGAGCCACAGGGGUUUUAGGAGCAUCUUUCAUUCUAGUGUUUGGUCUUUGACCCCGGUUCCCAACAAACAGCUCCUACUCCCUUGGAAUUUAUUGGGUGAUGGGAGUGUCUUGUUCUAAUGAAGCAACUCUAAUGGGCUCCUGGACGGGGCUGGUCACCAGAAAGACCAGGUUAUGCUGAGAAGCUUGAAACCGUCAGUCCCCCGCCACCCCAUCCUCUGGGAAGGGAAGAGGAGCUGGAGAUCAUGCCCAUGUGAUGAGGCCUCCGUCAAAGUCCUUGCACUCCGGGAUGUGGCUGCCGGACAUGCGGAGGCGCUGGGAGAGCGGCACACCUGGAGAGGGCGUGGAAGCUCCAACACCCCACCUCCACACCGCGUGCUAUGCAUCUCUCCCGUCCAGCUGCUCCUGGGUUUCAGUCUUUCCUAAUGAACAGACGGAGCUUCCCUAUGUUGUCCAGCCUGGUCUUGAACUCCUGGCCUCAAGCAAUCCUCCUGCCUUGGCUUCCUAAAGUGCUGAAAUUACAGGUGUGUACCACUACAGCAGGCCAAAUCCUCAUUUAGAAUCACUUGUUAGCUCUUAGAGAUCUGGUGGUGCCCUCUGACCCUAGACAAAUUAGAUCAGGCUCUCUGGGCAUAGCACCUGGCAUCAGCAUUUUGUAAAAGUUCUCUGGGCAGGCUGGUUGUGGUGGCUCACGCCUGUAACCCCAGCACUUUGGGAGGCUGAGGCAUGUGGAUCACUUGAGGUCACGAGUUCGAGACCAGCCUGGCCAACAUAGUGGAAUCCCGUCUCUACUAAACAUACAAAAAUUAGCCGGGUGUGGUGGCACGUGCCUGUAAUCCCUGCUACUUGACACAGAAAGGAGUGACCUCUCCAACCUUCCAUAAAUCAUCAGAACACUGCAGAGUGACAGUGGGAACUCCAGAGAUUAAACACGGAGGUGAGGCUGGCCAGGGAUCACAAGAGGCCCAACACCCAGACAGUACGGAACCUGGGUGGGCACCUCGUCCGUUUUGUCAUCCACAGACCAGAGCUCACUGCUUUCCAGAUCUCAAGAACAAAGCCCAAACCAUGGAAAUAAACACGCUGUUAUCAGUGUAGAAGGAACACAGCCAGCGGAGACGCCUCCUCCAGUCACACCUGGACCACAGCGGGACCCACAGCAGCACCGCACGGCGCCCUCCAUCACCUCUGGGCUUCUGCACUUCUGAUGACUCCAUCCAGAUCUCCAGCUUGUCCUGUGGACCCAUCCAUGCAGAAGCAGACUCGGCAGGCACAAGGACCAUUUUCCACACCCCUAUGAUUGCACCUCAUCCAAUCAGCAGCACCCACUCCCUAGUCCCCAGCUCCCUCCAGAUUAUCCUUGAAAAACCCUAGCCUCUGAAUUUUGGGGGAGAUUGACUUAAGUAAUAAAAUUCCAGUCUCCCACUUAGCCAGCUCUGUGUGAACUAAACUCUUUCUCUAUUGCAAUUCCCAUCUUGAUGAGUCAACUGAGGUAAAGAGCAACCUGGCUGAAGGUCAACAGCAGGGCUUUUUAAUCAGAUCCAUGCUGCCCCAAAAUAAUGAAACCCUGGAUCAGCUUCUUUUCCAAAUCUUGAGAAUACAGGCUCCUGGGCUGUGAAAUACAAUUUGAAAAUGUUUCUCUUCUAACAAAGAGUGCAAUGUCUUGAGUACUUUAACAUACUGUUUUCUGAAAUCUCACUGUUUGCUGGUAGGUAUCAAUGGCUUUGGUGUGGGGCGUCUGAUAUGUCUAUAUAAAGAAUCUCAUGCUGCCCCAGGAAAAAGCACAUAUAUCCAUAUUUUUGUUUGAUUUUGUAAAGCUUAUUGUACAAGAUCACAUUUUUGUUUUAAUAAAGAACAAAAAUGAAGUUUCA